UCUUAUGGUUUGCCUGUUAUUACC
rnacentral:siRNA from 1 species